rnacentral:rRNA from 1 species
CCCUUAGAUGUUCUGGGCCGCACGCGUGCUACACUGAGUGGAUCAGCGGGUCAGGUUGCGCGAAAGCGUUUCCUAAUCUUUAAAUCCGCUCGUGAUGGGGAUUGACGGUUGCAAUUUUCUGUCAUGAACGAGGAAUACCUUGUAAGCGCGGGUCAUCAUCCCGCGCUGAAUACGUCCCUGCCCUUUGUACACACCGCCCGUCGCUCCUACCGAUUGAGUGGUCCGGUGAGGCUUUGGGAUCUGAGCGGAAAGAGCGUUUCGCUGUUUCUGCUCGGAAAACUCAGUCGAAGCUUAUCAUUUAGAGGAAGGAGAAGUCGUAACA